rnacentral:tRNA from 1 species
GACUCAGUGGUUCGAUGGUAAAGCGUUCGUCGCAGGGCCAGAGGGUCCUGGGUUCGAUCCCCGGUGGAGUCG